GGAACCCCUGGACCUGUGGGAGCCGGUCUCCCGCAAUAACACACUGAACUCUGGGAAGGGACAUGCAAAGUUUAAGAAGAUGAGGUAAUAGCCUCUUAUCAAUCACAGGUGUCAAUCAAGUGGUCCCCACCCAAAGAGGAACAGCCCAGCCUGGAGGAAAAAAGAUGCCAAGAACCUGGACACCACGCUGAGGAGGGCCCAACCGCCAGGAACGUAGCAGUUGGCAUUGUUUUGUCAAAGGUCAAGAAAAUGGGACAAGGCCCCUACGUGCAAGCUUUUAUGAUAUAAACUCAGUCUUGCUCCAGAGCUACAUAAACUGUUCCAGCUUGAGAUCAGGACCAUAUAUAUGAAUGUACUGAAGCACAUCAUAUGGGUCCUCUUUAUUGAUAGCACGCUAAUGGGACUGGAUGAGCAGGAAGAAACUAACACGAAGGUGUUGGCAGGACAAUGUACUUCGUGGGGAGAGGACAAACUACAUUCAAGGCCUUGCUAUCUCAGUAAAAUUUUACAAGCACAAUGGUCAAAAGUAUGUUGGGAUAGUCCAUGUAAAGUAAAAGAUAAACGACUGCAUCUUCCACCACAAAAAAGACAGCAUAACAGCUGAUGGGCCUGUCUAGGGUUAGAAGCAUCAUGAUGGCUGCAAAACCCAAAAAGUUUGGCAUGGGUGUGGAUUAGAUACCAACUCUAUGUUCAGAAACUUGGCAAAAGUGGAGGUCUUAUAACUUUU